rnacentral:rRNA from 1 species
GUUCGCGCUCCAGAUAUAGAGUCCGGAGCCGAUGAUGAUCAGACCACCGGCCAGUGUCCAAACCGUUGGCCAUGUCGAAAAGACCAGAAUGCUCGCAAUCGCGGCCAAAAAAUCUGGCUGUAGACCAUCGGGGCGAGAAUGGACGCAUCGGCCAGCGAUGCGCAACGGUCGCCAAUAUGUGUCCGUCAUUCCGAAGCCGC